rnacentral:rRNA from 1 species
AGAUUUCGGUCUCGUAGGUGACCUGCGGAGGGAUCAUUA